CACGUAGGCACCAAGCGUUGUCCGGAUUUAUUGGGCGUAAAGAGCUCGUAGGCGGUUCAGUAAGUCGGGUGUGAAAACUCUGGGCUCAACCCAGAGACGCCACCCGAUACUGCUGUGACUUGAGUACGGUAGGGGAGUGGGGAAUUCCUGGUGUAGCGGUGAAAUUCGUAGAUAUCGGGAGGAACACCGGUGGCGAAGGCGGCGACCUGGGUAGAUACUGACGCUGAGGCGCGAAAGCGUGGGGAGCAAACAGG
rnacentral:rRNA from 1 species